AACAUCGCGCACCUGCGGGAACCUGCGGAAGGAUCAUUACAGAGUUGCAAAACUCCCUAAACCAUUGUGAACGUUACCUAAACCGUUGCUUCGGCGGGCGGCCCGGGUCCUUCCCGGCGCCCCUCGGCCCUCGCGGGCGCCCGCCGGAGGUAAACCAAACUAUUGCAUUGUAUGGCCUCUCUGAGUCUUCUGUACUGGAUAAGUCAAAACUUUCAACAAUGGAUCUCAGAUCGGAAGAGC
rnacentral:misc_RNA from 1 species